GACGAACCGUCCAAACGUUAUUCGGAAUCACUGGGCUUAAAGGGCGCGUAGGCGGCCGAGCGGGUCGCGGGUGAAAUCCCCCAGCUUAACUGGGGAACUGCCCUCGAUACCACUGCGGCUCGAGGAAGGAAGGGGCAAUCGGAACUGUCGGUGGAGCGGUGAAAUGCGUUGAUAUCGACAGGAACGCCGGUGGCGAAGGCGGCGUUCUGGACUGCUACUGACACUGAGAGACGAAAGCCAGGGGAGCAAACGGG
rnacentral:rRNA from 1 species